rnacentral:lncRNA from 1 species
AGUCCUUAGUUGAGAUGCCUGGCACUUCUUACUUAUUUUAGAAAACAAAAUCAGUGUUUUCCUUGUACUUUAUUUAGCAAAGCAGAACAACACAUGCGUGCAAACACACACAGAAACACACACAACAGCAAGGUAAGAAGUAGGAUUGUCAUUGUGGUUUUAAAGAAUGGUGAAACUAGACCUCACUUGAGCAAAAGUACAAGGAUUGGGGGAAAAAAAACUACCCAGGAAGAUUUAUGGGUUCACCCAUUAGGCAGGGAACAGCAGUAACCAAUGUCCUAAGGUGGGAGUACCCCAAGUAUAUCAAAGGAAGAGAGAUAGCUAGAAUGGAUAAGGUGGUUCAAACAAUAGAAAUUGAAUGAGUAGGGCAAGAGUGCAGGUAAUGAAGCUUGUUUUCCUUGGUCAGAAGCAGAAGAGGUAAGCAAGCCUUUCAAUUCAAUGAUCAACAUGUGUUGUGAGAGCACAGUGAAAGGACUGAUGUAGCAAAUCCAUAACCAGUUAGUUGACCACUGAGAUAAUCCGGGCAAGGCCAAUCUUAGAUGGGGUAACAGCAACAGGGAUGUGACACUGUAGAUAAACUACAAUUAGAUGCACAUUUAGAGCCUUAAGGGCCUUUCUGCUUAUGAACUAGAAGCAUUGCUGUCAGUGGGCUUGCUAUGACCCCUAGGGUGGCACUGCUGCUUGGUUGUGGAACCUCUAGGAACUAAAGUCUAAAGGGAGUUUCUCCAGUCACUGGGAGUGUGGCCCAAGGGAAAUGGUGGGGUCUUUAUUCUUCUGCCUCCUGGCUGAUGAGCUGACGGUUUGGCUUUACACUGGACCCCAGCUAUGUCUGCUGCCCAUUACAGACCAAAGCAAUGAGGACAACUGAUCACAUAAUGAAGUCUUCAAAAUGGAAUUAAAGUAAACUUUCUGACUUUGUAGAUCAACCUGAGUAUUUCAUUGUAGUCGUAGAAGGUUAAUUGAUUGAAAAAAACAGCAGCAAAACUGAGUUUGGCUUUGACUAUAAAAAUCAGGAGAUACCUGUUAAGAGACAUUCCAGUGAAAUGCUACACAGUAAGGUGAACAAAAUCUUAUUAUUAGAGGAAAAAAAAAUCACCAAAAAAUCACCAAAGUCAGCAUGAAAAGAGGCAAGGAGACCAAACUCCAGCUUUGAGGCUUAUGCUUAUUGAUAGUUAAAAGUUCAAGAGAUCAUUAAAAGUGAAAGAAAUCAGACAAGUAUCUUAGAAGACAAGUGAAGAC